GACGUAGGGCGCGAGCGUUGUCCGGAUUUAUUGGGCGUAAAGAGCUCGUAGGCGGCUUGUUGCGUCAGCUGUGAAAACCCGCAGCUCAACUGUGGGCUUGCAGCUGAUACGGGCAGGCUUGAGUUCGGUAGGGGAGACUGGAAUUCCUGGUGUAGCGGUGAAAUGCGCAGAUAUCAGGAGGAACACCGGUGGCGAAGGCGGGUCUCUGGGCCGAUACUGACGCUGAGGAGCGAAAGCGUGGGGAGCGAACAGGAUUAGAAACCCCAGUAGUCC
rnacentral:rRNA from 1 species